GUAACUGGCAUCACGCAGACGUCACGCAGGCAGUACGAGGAACUUGCGUCACGAGUUGCAUCGUAUUGUUUGUUUUGAAAAUUUUCUUUUAAUCUAAUUUUUUCGUAUUUCUAUUCACCCGUUUUCCUUGUCAGUGCAAAUGGAAUAGUUACUGUAUGUAGGUUUCCUGCUUAAAUUAUUCUCAGCAGAACAAAAAUGGAUUCAAGUAGCGAUGACGAUGAACUGAUUGUGAGUUUGUUACUUAGAAAUGUGAAGAAAAAAGCAAAUAAAAGAUCUGUGUGGGUCAACCCUAACAACCACAAGAGACUAAAAAUUGGUCACUGUCUCCCUGAUAACAAACGAUUUAAAAUCAAAUGAAGAUCAGUAUUUUGCCUAUUUUCGGAUGACGGAAGAACAAUUUGAAACCAUUUUGAACUUGAUCCAUGAUGAUAUUGUUAAACAAGACACGCGGUUCAGGAAAGCCAUCUCACCAAGAGAACGUCUAUCUGUCUGUUAAAGAUUGUUAGCAACCGGUGACUCAUAUGGAUCAUUCCAUUACAACUAUAGAAUGGGCAUUUCAACAGUGUCAAUGAUCAUUGUAGAAGUCUGUGAGGCAAUAUGGGAAAGACUAAGCGGUAUUUACAUGGUAAUGCCAUCAUCACCUGACAAAUGGGAAAAGUUAGCAAACGACUUUUACCUCCGAUGGAACUACCCAAAUAGCCUAGGAGCUAUUGAUGGAAAACAUAUACAUAUUCAAGCUCCUAACAACAGUGGCUCGAAGUACUUUUUUUUACAAGGGCACAUAUUUCAUUGUCUUCUGGAAACAUAUCAAUUUCUUCAUAAAUACUACUUCCAUUAGACAUUGGUUCAAGUAUUACAGAUGCCAGCUCCUUAAAAAAUACAUAUAAUAUAGUGUAUCCCAAUAAUAUUACAUAAAUACAUUACAGUAUAUCAUUAUAACUAUUUAAAUCUGUCACAAUUUUUGCCUGAUUCUUUUUUAAUUUGGGUAUUACUAAAGUGCGAGGCAGUGAGGCAUGCGAGGCAGCGAGGCAAAACGACGAUUCAUGCGAGGCAUCGUUUUACCAUUCCCAUUUUGU